rnacentral:rRNA from 1 species
GACGAACGCUGGCGGCGUGCCUAAUACAUGCAAGUAGGACGCAGUUGCGAACGGGUGAGUAACGCGUAGGUAACUGCCUAUUAGAGGGGGAUAAAUAUUGGAAACGAUAGCUAAUACCGCAUACUAGUAGAUGGACCUGCGUUGUAUUAGCUAGUAGGUAGGGUAAUGGCCUCCCUAGGCAACGAGACAUAGCCGACCUUAUAAGGUGAGCGGCCACACUGGGACUGAGACACGGCCCAGACUCCUACGGGAGGCCACAGUAGGGAAUCUUCGGCAAUGUGGGGAACCCUGACCGAGCAACGCCGCGUGAGUGAAGAAGGUUUUCGGGUCGUAAAGCUCUGUUGUUAAGGAAGCGGUACUUAACCAGAAAGGGACGGCUAACUACGUGCCAGCCGCCGCGGUAAUUC